UACGUAGGCAGCGAGCGUUGUUCGGAAUUACUGGGCGUAAAGAGCGUGUAGGCGGCUUGGUAAGUCCGCUGUGAAAGUCCAGGGCUCAACCCUGGAAUGCCGGUGGAAACUGUCAAGCUUGAGUCCGGAAGAGGCGAGUGGAAUUCCUGGUGUAGCGGUGGAAUGCGCAGAUAUCAGGAGGAACACCGGUGGCGAAGGCGGGUCUCUGGGCCGUUACUGACGCUGAGGAGCGAAAGCGUGGGGAGCGAACAGG
rnacentral:rRNA from 1 species